rnacentral:misc_RNA from 1 species
GAUGAAGAACGCAGCGAAAUGCGAUAAGUAAUGUGAAUUGCAGAAUUCAGUGAAUCAUCGAAUCUUUGAACGCACCUUGCGCCCUUUGGCCAUUCCGAAGGGCAUGCCUGUUUGAGUAUCAUGAACACCUCAACUCUUCAUGGUUUUCCGUGAUGAGCUUGGACUUUGGGGGUCUUGCUGGCCUAUGGUCAGCUCCUCUAAAAUAAAUCAGCUUGCCAGUGUUUGGUGGGUAUCACAGGUGUGAUAACUAUCUACGCUUGUGGUUUUCCACCAGGUAACCUUCAGCAGUGGAGGUUCGCUGGAGCUCACAGAUGUGUCUCUCCUCAGUGAGGACAGCUCUUUGAAUGUUUGAUCUCAAAUCAGGUAGGACUACCCGCUGAACUUAAGCAUAUCAAUAAGCGGAGG